GGCCAGACUCCUACGGGAGGCAGCAGUGGGGAAUAUUGCACAAUGGGGGAAACCCUGAUGCAGCAACGCCGCGUGAGUGAAGAAGUAUUUCGGUAUGUAAAGCUCUAUCAGCAGGGAAGAAGAAAGACGGUACCUGACUAAGAAGCCCCGGCUAACUACGUGCCAGCAGCCGCGGUAAUACGUAGGGGGCAAGCGUUAUCCGGAUUCACUGGGUGUAAAGGGAGCGUAGACGGCGACGCAAGUCUGGAGUGAAAGCCCGGGGCCCAACCCCGGGACUGCCCUUGGAACUGCAUGGCUGGAGUGCGGGAGGGGCAGGCGGAAUUCCUGGUGUAGCGGUGAAAUGCGUAGAUAUCAGGAGGAACACCGGCGGCGAAGGCGGCCUGCUGGACCGCGACUGACGUUGAGGCUCGAAAGCGUGGGGAGCGAACAGGAUUAGAUACCCUAGUA
rnacentral:rRNA from 1 species